rnacentral:lncRNA from 1 species
UUCUUCCUCACCGACCUGUCACAAUUGUCGCCUGUCCUCAUGGGCGUGGGCUGCGCAAUGUGACAAUACAUAUCAGAAGCAUCUAGAGCUAUUAACAGAAAUCCAGCCCCUAGGCCCCAGAACCACCACGGGAGGUUACAAGACAGAGAUUUUUCUUCCCUGGAUGGGAGGCAGGACAGAAGAGAGGAUUGAAGAACAAGUCAAGUUAUAGCAUCUCUGCUCAGGUGCCUAGCAGUCCCUCUCAGGCUUUGUGCUGCUCACUGGUUUGCACUCUGUCACCCACCCCCUGAAUGUGUAGCCUUGCAGGCAGACUUGACUGCCCAGACUGAGUCAACACAAUCUGUGAGAAUGAUUUCAUGCUGGCACAGUCUUAACCAGUAAAGAUGUCUAAAAUUCAUAUAAACCUUUACAGAGCUGCCAGUUAGAAAAAAGAAAUGUAAAAUAUCUAAAGGGUAAGUGAAAUAAAGAAGUAUG